rnacentral:rRNA from 1 species
GGCGGCGUGCCUAACACAUGCAAGUCGUACGAGAAAGUUGGCUUCGGCCAAUGAGUAAAGUGGCGCACGGGUGAGUAACGCGUGGAUAAUCUGCCCUUCAGCGGGAAUAACCCAUCGAAAGGUGGGCUAAUACCCCAUAACACUGUUUUACAACUGUCAAACAGUCAAAGAGAGCCUCUGCUUGCAAGCUUUUACUGAAGGUUGAGUCCGCGUACCAUUAGCUAGUUGGUAGGGUAAUGGCCUACCAAGGCGACGAUGGUUAGCUGGUCUGAGAGGAUGAUCAGCCACACUGGAACUGAGACACGGUCCAGACUCCUACGGGAGGCAGCAGUGAGGAAUCUUGCGCAAUGGGGGAAACCCUGACGCAGCAACGCCGCGUGAGUGAGGAAGGUCUUCGGGUCGUAAAGCUCUGUCAGGCGGGAAGAAAUGCAUGGAGGUGAACAGCCGCCAUGCUUGACGGUACCGCCAGAGGAAGCACCGGCUAACUCCGUG